rnacentral:lncRNA from 1 species
AGCAGCGCGAGACCCUCGCCAGGCUCUGAAGACGCGGCCUGGCCCUGGCCGUUCGGCCCUUCGUCUGAGCGCAAAGGCUCCAGCACCUCCGCGGCCGAAGCCGCGGGACUUUUCGUGGAAAAUGGGACCCAGCCCGAUCGCCAGCGGCGCUGCAGCGGACUCUGCGGGAACCUAGCUUCUGCUCCAGGACCUCCAGGGCCACCCCAGCUCGCAGGGCGUUCGCAGCGGCUCAGGGCGAAUCACGCUCAUGGUCCCCGUGCGCAUUUUCAGCCCCAGCCGGUACCUCCUUACUCGCCCUCACGACAUUCAUUCCACCCCCUAAAGGUCCUGCCAACCCCAGGCUCUUCCCGAGCAUUCCCGCCCUUCCUCCCUUUUGAAACCGGAGCAAAUCACGGCCGGGCGGAAGCGGGGGAGCCCGGGUGAGAGUCAGUGACUCAGCUGCGGACUCCAAGUGUCGCCGGAGGCCCUGGGGCGCAGGCCCAGCGGGCUGUCGCACAGCUCGGCUGUCCUGUGCCCCUUCCUGACGAGGCUGGGGAGGAAAGGCGGCCCAGAGAAGGCCGGACCAGCUCUCCCCGUCAGCCCCAGGCUCUCGAAUGACAGCGGAUGCCAGCGACCGGGGAUGGGGUCCCGGAAUUGCUGGGUUAAACAAGCUCCGGAUUCAGGCCUGGGCCUGGGCUGGGGUUCCAGGGUUCUGGACCGCCCUCAAAGAAGGAGCUCCCUGGGGCGGCACCUGGCUCUGCUUGAUAGCCCCAGGGACAGGGAGCUCACUACCUAUCAGGGCAGCUCCCCCAGUGCCGAGACCAGCUCGGUCCUGGAGACCCUAACCCAGCGGUGCUAGAGGAAUUAAAGAUACACACAGAAAUAUAGAGGUGUGGAGUGGGAAAUCAGGCGUCUCACAGCCUUCAGAGCUGAGAGCCUCCAACAGAGAUUUACCCACGUGUUUAUUCACAGCAAGCCAGUGAUAAGCACAGUUUCUACAGAUUAUAGAUUAAAAGUACCCCUUAGGGAAACAAAGGGAUGGGCCAAAAUAAAGGGGUGGGUUUGGCUAGUUAUCUGCAGCAGGGGCAUGUCCUUAAGUCACAGAUGGCUCAUGCUAUUGUUUGUGGUUUAAGAACGCCUUUAAGCGGUUUUCUGCCCUGGGUGGGCCAGGUGUUCCUUGCCCUUAUUCCGGUAAACCCACAACCUCCCAGCGUGGGCAUCAUGGCCAUCAUGAACAUGUUACAGUGCUGCAGAGAUUUUGUUUAUGGCCAGAUUUUGGGGGCCUAUUCCCAACACCCUAGCAUUGCUCACACUUGUCCCUGAAGUGUCACCUUGUCGUAGCUGGGCUCUGAGCCCUCUGCCCCAGGGAGGGGUGGCCUUUUGGGCUGAAGGGACUGAGGACAUAGCCGUUGAGCCUGUUGGCCAUUGCUCAAAGAAUGCAGCCUCCUGGUCACCCAUGUUGUCCCCUUGCCAACAAAAAGAGUGAAACACUGUGCAAUGUUUGAAGAGAUUUAUUCUGAGCCAAAUCUAAGUGACUGUGGCCUGUCACACGGCCUCAGAAGAUCCUGAGAACUUGUACCCAGAGUGGUCAGCCUGCAACUGGGUUUUACAAAUUUUAGGGAGACAUAAGACAUCAAUGAAUACUUGCAGGAUGGACAUUGGUUUGGUCCAGAAAGGUGGGGACAACUGGAAGUGACAGAGGGACUUCUAGGUCAUAGGCAGAUUCAAAGAUUUUCUGAUUGGCAAUUGAUUGAAAGAGUUAAGUUGACCGGGCAUGGUGGGCCAUUUCUAUAAUCCUUGCCAUGGGGAGGCUGAGGACCAUUUGAGCCCAGGAGUUAGAUACCAGCUUGGGCAACAUAGAGAGACCUCACUUCUCCAAAAAAAAAAAAAAAAAAAAAGUUAUUUUUUAAAGACUUAGCAUUAAUAGAAAGGAAUGUCUGGUUAAGAUAAGGGGUCGUGGAGACCAGUGUUUCAUGAUCAGAUGAAGCCUCCAGGUAGCAGGCUUCAGAGAGAAUAGAUUGUAAAUGUUUCUCAUCAGACUUAAAGAGUCUGUUCUCUCAGUCUUUAAGGGGUGUGUUGAUGUUACUGCUGGUCAGCUGGGCCUGAAAUCCAAAGGGAGGAGGGUACAGUGAGGCAUAUCCAACACCCAUUUCCUGUCGUGGUCUGAACUAGUGUUUCAGGUUAACCCUGGACUGCCCUUGGUCAAGAGCAGGGGUGCAUUCAGAUGGUGGGGGUGCUUAGAAUUUCAUUUUUGGUUUACACCACUGUGUCCUCUCCUGCCAGGGGAGGGACCCAGAGCUGGAGGCUUAGCCCUGGAGAUACCGGUGAAGAUGGAUGAAUGAGAAACCAGUUGGAGCUUCCAAGGUCUCUACCCACCCUCCAGACCUCCUCUGCUCCUGCCCCUGCCCAUUCAUUCCCAACUUCUGCUCUCCCAGCUCCCCUCCCACCCACAUGCUGUUCCCUCCUCUUCCAUCUUCCGCUUCCUGGGCCCAGAGACUGGGCAAGAUCCCCAGGGCUCUCCUUGCACAGCGAACCUCUCCCAGGGUGCAUAGCCUUGCUGCAAUCUUACACAGGGAAUACAUAAGCAAGGAAUACUUCUGUCCCUCUUGGACUCUGAAGCCAGAAGGCCAGGGCCUGGUUGGCCUCCUAACUGCUGUGUCCCAGGGCCAGAGCAGUGCCAGACACCCAGCAGUCUUAGCACCCACGAAAGCUGGAGGGACCCACACCUUCCCCAUCACUCAGUUGCAUCAGUCUAACGCAAUGGAUUUGGGCAGCUUGUGGUGGUUCACUGGCAGUUUAUUGGGGGACUUGAAGGAGUCAAGGUCAAGUGGGGGACUUCUGGGUGCCAGACCUGGCCCUUCCUUGGCCUGGGCUUGGGGUGUCCAAGCCCACAGAGCCAUGCAGGGGGAAAGAGCUAGGCAAGCAGGGUGGUUGAGGAGGUCAUUAGCGUGGCCUCGAGGGAAAACAAUUCCAAGAGGAGCCCAAAUUCGAAUGUCCCCUGGUGUCAUUGAGAAUGGAGAGAUUUAGGUUAUGAAUUGUGCAGUUGGUGGGUAGCAAGCCAGGGUCCUGAAGAUAGUCUGCAUAUCCCCUGGUGUCAUUGAGAAUGGAGAGGUUCAGGUUAUGAAUUGUGCAGUUGGGGGUAUCAAGCCAGGGUCCUGAAGAUAGUCUGCAUAUCCCCUGGUAUAUAUCAUUUAUAUAAGGAUGUUACUUAACUAUUGCUGUCUUCCAGAGGCAGCUUCUUGAACAAAUACUUGAGGUCCUCUAUAGGUUUACGGGAGUAGACUGUUUUCUCCAAGCAGGCCUGUCGUCCAUCAGGAGAAGCAAAAGGUUUUAUUCUAGAGACAAGUCCUUCCAACUGUACAGCUGAUGGAGUAGCCAAGGAAACCUGGUCUUUCCAGAGACACAUAGAAGGUGCCAUCUAUGAGGAACAGGCCUUCACCAGACAUCAAAUCUGUUGGCAUCUUGAUCUUUGACUUCUCCACCGCCAGAACUAGAUCAAGACAUGAAACCCAUGUUCAAGAUACUUUCCAGUGUGUCUUCAUGUGAUCCUCUGAGUCCAGCCAUCAGGCUACCAGCAGCUCUUGGAAACCCUGACAUACUUAUUCUUAGAAGACUGCUUUCCGGACUCAAAGUGGAACCUCAAAUUUUCAAUUUUCUUUGUUUUUAAAGCCUACACAUAGGUGAUGAUAUAUACAUGCAUAUAUAUUUUGGAGAAUUUAUAAUUCUGAAAACAAUGCUGGUCUUAUGGAACCCAUCCAUUCCCCUUUCCCCGUGUGUGCUCCGAGCUGUGGUGGCACGUGAAAAGGGGUCCUUCCAGCAGUGGCCCACAGCCCUGGGCUGCUUACUUGCUCACUUCAUUUACAAGAGCAAGAAAUACACAUUCUUGUGUUGUUUAAGUCAUUAUGAUGUGGGGAUUUCCAUUACUCACACACCUGAUCUAGUAGUAACACAGUAGCCUAUUUUAGCAAUAUCAUUUAUUCAAUAAUCCAUUCUUUCCCCAUUAGUUUUGAGCCUUCAUUUAUUGUGUACUAAGUUCUGGUUAUUUUUAGUGGUUGUAAUCUCCUUCUUUCCUACUCUCUUAAUCAUGGGAUUGCCAAUAUCUGCUCUGUGUUUCUGUGCCAUCUAUAGCCUCUGGCCUUGGUACUGCUUCAAAACUGAUAUUUCUAACCUUACUUUGACUUCUCCAUUCAGUGAAGUUCCCAUAGUUCAUCACUCAACUGCUCUCUUUCCAUCGUGACCUUCUGAACUAGCUCACACCCAGAUGUACUUUUGUUAUCUGCCUUUCCCCCUCAUAAACAUGGGCUGCUGCUGGGGAAAAUCCACUACCGAACUCUUGCAGGUCUCUGCAAAUGUUUAAUGCCCUGUCUUAGCCAUGACCUCCACAAUGCUGGGCUAUCCUAUGUUAUGUCCCCUAAGAUAUCCCUUCUCUCUUACCUUUGGGGAUAGUCCUAAGCUUCCAUCAUGGCACUCAAAGUCCAACCUUAUUUGUACCCUCAUUCUCUGAGCAGACACCACCGUAUUCUGUUUCACAGAGAAAAUGUGACUGCUGGGGAUAAUUCUUUCAACUUCCUGGCCUCUUCCUAUACAUGAUCUUUCUCUGUAUUCUUGCCUAUUGCUCUUCCAUGUUGAUAGAAGUGUCUGUUCUCCUUGUCAGUGUCUCGGCCUUGGAUCUGUCCCCUAGACUAUUCUGCCUGUGUAAGGACCUUCCCUGACCAGCUGGGCCACCAUCUCCUGCUUCUCCAAUCCCUCACUCUAGACUGACUCUUAACCUUUGGUCAACAAUACUUGAGCUUUUACAUUCAUAAUGGAGCAUCUGUGUUGAACCUUGUUCUUUUCUAGACACUACCCUCCGUUCUGUCUUCCAUCCAUGGUGACUUUUCUAGAAAGAGCAUCUAUCACACUGGAGACAGCAAACUCCUUGAUCCAUUCUAAUUCCUAACCCUGCAAUAAUUUUCUAUCUCCCUUACUCAAGUAAUUGGGAGUGCUCCUAGUGUUACCAGAGACCCAGCAGUUCCCAAUUUCGAAUUUUUCCGUAUUCACAUUUCUUGACUUGCUAUGAUUUUACAUCACAGAUUACAUCCUUCAUUUGAAGAGACUCUAAUGGAAGGCUGCCAUGGAAACUCUCUCAUGUGGCUGACCUCCUACCUCACUUGCUCUUUCUGAAUGAAGUUCCCACUUUUGCCUGCCUUAAUGAAAGUAAUGCUCCCCAAACUCAAGCCCAGGGCUGCGAAUUGGAAGCAGCUGGGGCUACUGUUUCUGGGUGCUGGUGUGAAUGGCAGGAUGUGAACACCAGCCUGUGACGGGCAAAAAGAUGGACACACAGGCAGAGCCUGACAGGUGCUGGUGGUCCUAUCUGGUCCUGAGUUGCUGGGACCCUCCUUGCCCACUGCCCCUAGAAUGGACUUUGGCCUCAGGUUCGAAGUGUUCAGAUGUGACUGAGAUGAGCCUUUUCCCCAUGCCUCAGGAAUAGCGAAGAAACUCUAUCUGGAAGGUUCCCCAGGCUUCCCCACCCAGCAGCCUCUGGUAUUAGACCAGGCAGUGGCUGGCCAGGAUGGUGGGGACAGAAGGGAGACAAAGGUGAGCAGUGGGUGGGGUCACAUCCUCCCUGACAUUGAAUAGACAACAUGGGGAGGAAGGAUGAGUGAUCUUUAGAAUGUUCAUGGAAAAUGCAUAUUGGGAAAAAGAAUGCAUGAAUUUCAAAUUGUUUUGCAACAAAAUAAACUUGUACUAACUUGUGAAAACACGUCCGAACAGGAUCUAGUUUGAGGCCCUAAGAAGUAUAAGACAACAGUUUGAACAGAGCUCCUAUCAGACACAUGAAUUCUGCUAAAAUUGAAACCAGAACAAACAUGCAAUUGAUGGUGAAGCUUGGCUGGAAACAUGGUGAAAUCAUUGAUGAUUUAUUGAAAGUUUAUAGGGACAAUGCCUCAAAGAAAUCAGCAAUUUAAGUAAGUGGAUAACUCAUUGGAAGAAGAGAAGAGAUGAUGUUGGAGAGGAAGUCCACAGCAGCAGGCCAGCCACAUCAGUCUGUGAGGAAACAAUUCAUCUUGUUUGUGCCCUAAUUUAAGAGGACUGAUUAAUAGCAGCAGAAACAAUAGCCAACGCUGUAGGUAUCCCAAGGUGUUCAGCUUACACAAUUCUGACUGAAAUUAAAGUUGAGUAAACUGUCCACUCGGUGGGUGCCAAAACUUUCUCCCAGCUCAGCUGCAGAUAAGAGAAAAGCGUUCUAUGGCCAUUUUAAACAAGUGGAAUCAAGAUCCUGAAGCAUUUCUUCAUAUAAUUAUAGCCGGAGAUGAAAUGUGGCUUAACCAGUACACUCCUGAAGGCAAAGCACAAGCAAAGCAAUGACUACCUAGAGGUGGGCGUGGUCCCAUCAGAGUAAAAGCAGACAUGUCAAGGGCAAAGGUCGUGGCAACCGUUUUGUGAAUGCUCAAGGCAUCUUGCUUAUUGACUUUCUGGAGGGCCAAAGAACAGUAACAUCUUAUUAUGAGAGUGUAUAGAGAAAGUCAGCCAACGAUUUAGCAGGAAAACACCCAGGAAAUCGUCACCCCGGAAAGCUUCACCAGAGAGCCCUUCUCCACCAUGACAAUGCUCCUGCUCAUUCCUCUCAUCAAACAAGGCCAGUUUUGUGAGAGUUUCAAUGGGAAAUCACUAGGCAUACACCUUCCAGGCCUGAUUUGGUUACUUCUGUUUUAUAAUUUUAAAAAAUCUUUAAAGGGCACCCACUUUUCUUCAGUUAAUAACGUCACAAAGACUGAAGUGGCAUGGUUAAAUUCCCAGGGUGCCCAAUUCUUUAGGGAUGAACUGAAUGGCUGGUACCAUUACUUGCAGAAGCGUCUCGACCUUGAUGGAGCUCAUGCUGAGAAAUAAAACAUUUUUUAAUUUUUAUCUUUUAAUUCAAUUUUUUCGUGAACUUUUGAAGUCCCCUUGUAUUUGUUUUUGGUGGAACUUUGAGUCUGAUUUCUCAGCUCCCCAUGGAUGGCUGCAUCUUAACAGAGAAAUGAACGCCAUUUACCCUGAUGCUCUCUACUUGGCCUAAGUUUCAGAUGUUGAACACACACGUGUGGGAAUUUAUGAAUCUGUGCACCUGUGCCAGCUGGUGGGUGAAGUCUAAGUUUCUUCAACACAAUUAGUUAUCUUCUGCCUCCUGGAAUCUGGUAGGAAAGGUUGAGGAAAAGCAGCCAUCCACAGCGCCUCCACCACUGGAAUGGGGGCAGCCCUAACGUGUGCCCCACUGCCCCCCAUGCUGAGGAGUCCUUCACUCCAGGGAUGUCUUCACCCCAAUCAUUCAGACUCCCCCAGUGUUCCUGCGUCACCUGAAAGGUCGGAAGCAUCUCAGCACAUACUCUCCAUGAGUGGUACUUAGGCCUCCCUCCCCAUCAAUACUGAAGCCCUCAGAGGCAGAGGGGAGUCAAGGAAAAGAGUGGCCAUCAGCAAUAAAUGAGUUACAAGGUUUGAUUUCAAAGAGAAAAACUUGUCACCAAAAUCACUACUCAGGAGAUCUGGACUUCCUCUGAAUGUGAGUUAAAGAACCCUUGAGGGUUAAGAGCCAACUGCACCUGAUCCCCACUCUCCCAUCCCAAGACCCUGGGAAGUCAAACCAAGAGGUAAUCAACAGAAAACAAGUUUAAUGCAACAGGUGACAACGGUCUGGAGCGAGUCCAUGCUCCGGAAGGCUCAGUCUGUGGCAGUCCCGUGGCUCAAGACAGGCUGAGGCCGGCUGCAAUGGAGGCCAGCAGCAGGAGGAUGGCCAGCCACAGCCCACCACAGCUCUCACCCAUGCUCCCAGCAUAUUCUUUGAACACUGAUGAGUUGAUAGGUGGCCCCUCUAAAUUGCAGUAGCGAAUUUUACAACACUUGAGGUAAAAGAAGGGCAUGGGCUCUUCCAGGAGAAACCGCUUCUCCUCUGGCUUGGGUCUCUCCAUCGCUGCACAACCAGCGGAGCACUGCUUCGCAACCAUGAAAAAACGUGGAAAUAUUUCUAAUAGGAAAUAAAGACCGAGAGAAGGCAAUCACGCAAUUCCAAUGCCUGACACCGAGGCCCUUCUGUCUGGGUCAAAGCCUCACCCCUGGCGGCCCUGCUCAAAGGUGCACAGUCAACUGGGGCACCAAGGGGGAGUCGGGAGGACGAGGGCCAGGCCUGUGUGUUGAAUGCUGCUUCAGGGAAGGGCUGGCUUCUGCGUGGUAUGGCCUGUCCAUAUGCACUGGGAAUGCGGGUCUAGGGGUUGCUGUUUGGGAACAAACAGGUCUCAACUUCUCAAACACAGGGUUGGCUCAGGCCUUUGUGACCACAGACAGACACAUGACUCCCAGCCAUUCUGGCCAUCACCCAGGGUGUGGAGCUGGCCUCUUGGUGGGCCUGGCUCGACUCUGAGCUGGGGGUCUUGUCUCAUGACCACACUUCAUCUUAUACAUCACUGUACAAAUCAUUUUGCCAUAUUAAGUUAUAAAGUCGAUGUGGGCCACACUGAGUCUGAAGCAUCACCUCAGCACCCCACCAACUUCGUGGAUACCGAAGGGCUGGAGAGUGACUGCUGGGCGGAAUCAGAAUUCACGAGCCCUGAAGAUCUCCCUGUGGGCAGAAUGUGCUGGGUGUCCAGAUUCCCCUUGGGGAGGGCUUCAUGUACCCAGAGGUUUUCAGGGGAAUCACAGAUGACAGAGCAGUGGUCUCCACAAUUUUUAAGGCAUGCACCCUCCUUUGAGAACACACUUGAAGGCUGUACACCUUGGUUUUGUGCAUCUCUUGUAAGAGUGACAUAGACACUGUUCUCUGUGGCGCAUUUAACACUAUUAAAGCUUAAUUUUUCAUUUAAAAAUGGAUGAUAUGAAAUCCAGAUUUUCUUCCUACCUCCCAGUAUUUCAUCUGGACCCACUGUAGCAGGCACUGCCUUACACUAGCACAGUUCCUACACCUCUCUCUGGCCUCUGAGGACUUUGCUCUUCACAUUUUAAAGGGAAAAAAAGGCAGGGCGCGGUGGCUUACGCUUGUAAUCCCAGCACUUUGGGGGGCCGAGGGCGGGUGGGUCACCUGAGGUCAGGAGUUCGAGACCAGCCUGACCAACAUGGUGAAACCCCACCUCUACUAAAAAUAAAAAAUUAGCCAGUGUGGUGGCGCGCAUCCAUAAUACCAGCUACUCUGGAGGCUGAGGCAGGAGAAUCGCUUGAACCCGGAAGGCGAGGUUGCAGUGAGCCGAGAUCACACCACUGCACUCCAGCCUGACUCCGUCUCAGAAAAUAAAAAAAAAAAAAGGCUACUUUCUAUUAGUUAUUCCCCAUUGAGGAAAACUAGACAGCCCUGAUUCCUGAAAGCCCUCUGUUCACCUGCCUUUGGGUCCCCAACAAGAGCGAAGAUACUCACUCACGGCCGCUAUAACGCAGUAUGGCUCUGUCCAUUUGCACCUCCUUGGGUUCUGGCACUCGAAAGUGUUUUCUCUCUCACAAACAUGACACCACACUCUAUUGUCACCCUCGUCUGAAAGGAGGAAUAAAAAAGAAAGCAGAAUGUUCCAGUUCUCCGUGCCUAUCUGAUGAACACAGCCGGCAUCCGACCAGCACAAACUCGGCGGGUCCCCAUCCUUCUCCCCCUGAGCAGUGGCUGGGGCCACAUGACUCGAGUGAGCCGCAUGGGGAGAAAGCAGGAGGGGUCUCCGGCCACGUAAGAGCUGCCCGCUUCCCCUUCGCCUUCCCCCAUGAUUGUAAGUGCCCUGAGGCCUCCCCAGAAGCCAGCACCACGCUUCCUGGACAGCCUGUGGAACUGUGAGCCAAUUCCACCUCUCUUCUUUAUAAAUUGCCCAGCCCCCGGACUUCUUUACAUUCUGAGUGAUUUUUCUUCUCUCCUGGGGGCUCCCCCGUCCUCCCACAUCCAAGCACACAACAUGAGCGCACAGCGCACCCCCACUCGGCCGCAGCACCCUGACCCCAGGUCGGCCACGCGGCACCCACGGGCCCUGGCAUCUCCCGGCCGACGGCUGUGGAAGUGACCCUGGGGCUUGGGUCUGCUCCCACGUGCCCUCCCGCCCACCUCCCAGGUCCACCCACCUCCCAGGUCCUGCCCCCCGACUCCCUCAAAGGAGUUCUCCCUUGGGUCUGGGUUGGGCCUGGCCUAGCUCUGCAGGAGGAGCCGGCCCUCCUCCCGCAGCUUGAACGGUUCUCAGCCCGUGAAGCCCCCGGAGGCCAGGCCGGCGGGAGCCUGCAGCCUGAGGGCUCCCGGGGAAGCGCGGCCGGAGCGGGGCAAGGGCUGGGGAAGGGCCGGGCUCAGGCUGCCCCGCCGCCCUGGUGGAAGCCGCACGAGGCGAGGCUCCCCAGAGGCUUCCAGGCGCCACGGGCCGCCUGAACGCUCCGUUCUCACGGCCUGGUCGGGGCGGUGGCCACGCGGUGCCAGGCAGACGCCGCCCGGCCCUGUCCUCUCGGCCCGUGGCUGUGGAGGGCGAGCCAGGCUCACCCGUUCGCUGGGAGUCCUCUGGAUCUCGUUGUCUCGCAGUCAGGUUGGCGUCUGUCCACACCCGCGGUAGGGCCACGACCAGCAGCAAGGCGAGCAGCGCCAUCGUCCCCAGCGGUGCCCAGGGAGGGUCAGCGCGCGGCGCCCCCUCCCCGCCCUUCUGGAACCUUCGCAGCCUCCGCGCGCCUCUCCCCGGGUCUGGCCGGUAGGGGGAGCCCCGCCCGCCCCGGGGCGCGCGCCUCCCACCCGCCGGGGCCUGUCGGGGUCUUUGGAGCCUCAUCUCAGGGCCUCGCGGCCGCUGGCGGCCCUGAACGCCGGUUCUGAGUCCCGCCUUGUGCUGCUGUUGGAGCGGCCGGCGGCCAGGCAGGAACGGGCGCGGGAGCCCUGGGAAAGGCGCGUGUGGAAACGCAGCCCCUGAGCCCAAGGGCCGUCUCCUUGAGGACCCCACGGCCCACAGAAAGUGGCCGGCGGCCAGGUAGGGGAUCUUCUCCGCUGAAGAGCACGGGCUCACCUCUGAUAACUCGCCCCUGAAUAGCUUUUAGCUCAUUAUAAUACCAAAAAAAAAAAAAAAAACAAAAACCACAUCCCUGGGGAGAGAUUCCAGAUGCUAAUGACACACUCCAGCGCACUAGUGUGUGAGGUCACGGUGCCUGCGUGCCCUGAGGACUUCCCAAAACGUGCUUACUAGUAAGGCCCCUGCCUGGGCCGUUCGUGAGUAAUCCUGUAAAACUCUCAUCAAGAGGGUCUCCCCAGCGUGAGUAGCGACUGACUCAUUCUUUUGAGCAGUUCCUCUUUCAAGCUGUACUGUUUUCCUUAACUAAAAGCUCAAAUAAGAAUUCCUCCUGGCGCCUGUAGUCCCAGCUACUCGGGAGGCUGAGGCAGGAGAAUGGCGUGAACCCGGGAGGUGGAGCUUGCAGUGAGCCGAGAUCGCGCCACUGCACUCCAGCCUGGGCCACAGAGCGAGACUCUGUCUCAAAAAAAUAAAAAAAAAAAGAGAAAGAAAAGAAUUCCUCCUAAGUCACUAGCUUUUGGCUCUAUCUCCUGAGUGGCAGGUUCUGUCUUGUCUCUCUGAGAUCCUGACUCUUUAAAUAAAGGUUACUUAACCCUAUACCUCUUGCUAGGCAUCUCUUGUCUGAAUUCCUUCCUCCAAGAAGACUAAGAACUGGAGGAUUUCCAUGCCUCUCACAGUGACAGUGCUACCCAAACAUCAGGGUUGUCAUCUAGGCCCCCUGCCCUGCACAGAAAGCCAAUCACCAACAGCAGUGCCAGGGAAGAAGGCCUCAUUCAAGUGCUACAGCCCAGAGAUGGGCGCUCAGUCACAAAUCCCUCUCCUCAGCCCACUAAAAUUAGAAGUUUCCAGAGCAGGGAAGAAAUGUCACCCUGUGUGGGAAAACAGGAAUUAGGGAGAGUGAGGAGGCAGCUAGGCAGUCAUGACUGGUGAGGGGUCUGGCCUCAAGGACCUACUGAGUUUCAGCGCCUUGAUACUGUCUGGGAGGCCCGAUGGUUGGUUUCCUGAGAAAGGAGCUCAGAUAAGACAAAUGUAACUUUCCCAAGUUUUAAGACAGGGUGGGCCAAUUUCUAUGUUUAUUCAAAAGAAACCCUAAAUACUAGUUUUACGAGAAAUUGGGCCCAUGUGAGUAGGCCCCAAAGGGCAAUCCACAGGUGGUGUUCUCCACCCUGCUUUCUCCUCUCAACCCUCUGUAUAGAGGCCCUCUGUUAACACAGGCAGGAGCAGGAAUUUCACACUCUUUUCCUUUCUUUGCUUUCUUCUUUGUCUUUUUUUUUUUUUUACAGUUGUGAUAUAGUUUGGAUCUGUGUCCCCACCCAAAUCUCAUGUUGAAUUGUAAUCCCCAGUGUUGGGGGUGGGGCCUGGUGGGAGGUGAUUGGAUCAUAGGGGUGGUCCUUCAUGAAUGGUUUAGCACUAUCCCUUUGGUGCUGUUCUUGUGAUGGAGUUCUCACGAGAUCUGUUUUUUUUAAAAGUGUGUAGGCAACUCCCUUUCUUCCUCCUGCUCAGGCCACGUAAGAGGUGCCCGCUUCCCCUUUGCCUUCCAUCAUGAUUGUAAGUUUCCUGAGGCCUCCCCAGAAGCCAGCACCAUGCUUCCUGCACAGCCUGUGGAACUGUGAGACAAUUAAACCUCUUCUCUUUAUAAAUUGCCCAGCCUCAGGUAUUUCUUUAUAGCAAUGGGAGAAAGGACUAAUACAAGUUGCAUCAUAUUCCAUGGCCUGGAUGUACCAUAGUUAAUUUAAAUAGCCUCCUUGAAUGAACAUUUGUGUUGUUCACAGUGUUUUUAUAUCUCACAUGUCAAAGUCAAAUACAUUAUAGGAUGAAUCUCUAAACGUUUUAUUCAGGAAUCACAGAAUUGUAAUUCUGGGCGUACACAGACCAGAAAUGUGUUUGGUGUGUCUGACGAACAAAGAGAAGGUUGAAAGUUUUAUUUAAGAAAUGUUACCUAUUGUUUAGAAAGAAAACUUGUGGGCCCUGGUAGAGGUUUGGGGAGCUGGCAGGCUCUGAUGGGUGAGUGACACAGUAGGUAGACCUUGUCUUUGAGUCACGGCAGGUCGUUCCAGCAGCUGUUAGGUGCACCUGAUUGUAAAGUUGCAGCAGGCGUUUCAGCACUUGGGCUUGCAGAUGGUUCUUGGAGCAGGUGCUGUCUGCCUGAGUGGUUUUCCUCUGGCCCUCUGCCUUGACUUAGUCGGGUAUGACCAGAAUAACUCAAUUUAUGAAGUCAACUUUCAUAUACAUGACGCUGCAAUUGUCCCUAAUGUCAUUCCUUACAUAUACCAUUAUACCACAGCUUUCCAGAAAUGAGAUCAAGGGACAAAAGUUAAAUAUAUUUGCAGUUUAUAUGAGUAUUGCCCAGUUGCUCUAUCUGGUCUUUGGACAAUUUUGUCAUUGAGGAGUGAGUGCUUGUUUUCAUGGUGGUGUCAGAAAGAAUGUCCUCUUAUUUACUCUUUGGAUUUUCACCAAUGUGACAGAUGAAAAUGAAAAUAGUAUCCGGGUGUAUUUUUAAUUUGCAUUUUUAAAUUAUAAGUGAGCUUGAGCACUUGAUAUGGUUUGAUAUGUUUGAUAUGGCUAGUGGAUAUUUGCAUUUUCCUGUGAUCUCUCUAUUUAUGUCUCUCGUCCAUUUUCCCGUUUAACAGACAUUGCUUAACAGAAGACAAUAUUUGAGUUGCUGACCAAUCCCGAAAUAGUUGUGAGGUAUGAUAUCAGCAGGACUUGUUUUCCGAGCCUUGAUCAUGACCCUGUGAUCAAAACAGGAUAUAACAAAGAAACUGGCCCAAACCAGCUAGGACCAAGAUGGUGACAUAAGUGACUUCUAGUUGCCCUCAUUGCUCAUUAUAUGCUAAUUAUAAUACAUUCUCAUAAGACACCACAUCAGCACCAUGACAAUUUACAAAUGCCAUGGCAAUGACCCAGAAGUUAUAUGGUUCAUAUAUGAUGCCAAAAAGGCUCAUUACAAUGGAUCUUGGGAGUAAUUUUUCAAGGAAUAUGAACAAAGUCUUCCCUCUGUGGUUAAUUCAUGAAUGCUGUGUUGGAAUAUUCUGGAUGGUCCAGACUUUCCUCUGUAAUCGACGUUGAGCCCUGCACAACUUCAGGAGGGCGCCAGACCUCACUACUCUCAAGGAAAAGGCUGAAGUGGAGGAAUUGAUUCCCACUGAUUUUUUUUUUUAAUUUUUUUGAGACAGAGUCUUGUUCUUUCACCAAAGCUGGAGUGCAGUGGCAUGAUCUCGGCUCACUGCAACCUCUGCCUCCCAGGUCCAAGUGGUUCUCCUGCCUCAGCUUCCCGAGUAGCUGGGAUUACAGGCAUGAGCCACCAUGCCUGGCUAAUUUUAGUAUUUUUAGUAGAGACAGGGUUUACCAUGUUGACCAGUCUGGUCUCGAACUCCUGACCUCAAAUGAUCCGUCUGCCUCAGCCUCCCAAAGUAUAGGGAUUACAGGCGUGAGCCACUCCACCUGACCUUGAUUUUAUUUUUAACCAUCCUGUCUGAGAGAUUAUUUGUGGAGGCUGACAGCAGAUGUGCAGGGUUCAACAGUGCAGUAUGCUGCAUUUCUUCAGCUAUACCUCAUAUUGUAAAGACUGUCCAGGUAACUCAACAAGCGGGAGGUAAGGGUUGCAGGUGGGAUACUGUAGUACACCCCAUUGGUCUAAAGGCACAUUUCCUUCUUUUCCACCCACUGUUGCAGUCCAGCCAGGCAUAACUUUAGGAGAAUGUGGUUAGGUAAACAUGUGCCAUUUGGCACAGGGAUAUUUGAAUUUCCUGGCAUGAGGAGUGGCGGGACUUGGACUAGCUAACCAUGAGAGUGAGUUAGUAGAGAUGUGGAUGCCGUCAUGCUGAUGGCCUGCUCAGAGUAGCACUGGGCUGUAUUCGCCCAAACACCCAACAGAGCCUGGCCAAAUGCAAGGCCCAGUCCGGUCUGGGGACUUCUCUGGAAUGCCUGUGCCAGUAUAACCGGGAAUGUCCCUCAAACAGAGAGAAGCAAAUUAUUAUCUCUUACUGAGCCCUUUGCUAAACAAGAAGCAGAGCCAUGUGGACCUAUGAGAGAUCUGGAGACACAACAUUCCCCAUUGAGGAAUACACCGCCCUUGCUAUUCUGAAUUCAAAUGGGUCCCUGAACCAAUAAAAGCAUGAAUGUAUUUUCAAGAGGUGGUGCAUGCAGCUUCAUGCAGGCCUCCUGAGCCAGUCGUCCAGAUGUGGUUAGGAAUGUCUGCUAUCAGGACACUUGCUGCCUGGGAACCCUUGGCAGAGGCCAGCACUGCCACCCAGCAGGGACCUCUGGUGUGUUGCAGCUGCUCCUCAAAUGCCUCUGGAAGACAAUAGCAACUUACGACUUCCUUACCAGGAAACAGCAUCAGAUAGCCUUCAAACCAGAAAUGCCUCUCAUGUCUUGAUGUCAGAGAACCAUUCUACCAAGAGGAGGAGCAGCCCAGCAAAGUCCAUCAAACGGUGAGAGUAUAUUCCAGAGCAGGGGGCAGGAGGACGUUAGGGGAGCCUGUGGCUUCUGCAGCAGAGGCAAUAGCAGAAGGAGAGGAGAGGGAGGAGCAGAAGGAGAGCAGAGGGAGAGCAGAGGGAGGAGCCUUCAAGGGCUGCUGUGUGUUCGGAGCCCAGCUAAAGCCAAGCAGGCCUCUGAGCUCCCUGCUAGGAGUUCAUGUCUGCAGGGCAUGUGGCUGCUUGGAAAUUAGCCAUGUAGACCUCACAGUCUGUCUUUGCCAGAGAAAGGCAGGGCAAACCAUAUUAUACACCUUUAUAACAUUGUUUCAAAUCCAGAAGUGUGAUGCCUCCACCGUUGUUUUUCUUUUUCAAAAUUGCCUUGGCUAUUUUUUUUUUUUUUUUUUGUGGUUCCAUGCCGAUUUUGGAUUUUUUUUCUUUUCUCUCUUUUUUGAUGGGGAGGGAUGGAGUCUCACUUUGUUGCCCAGGCUGCAGUGCAGUGGCACAAUCUUGGCUUACUGCAACCUCUGCUUCCCGGGUUCAAGGGAUUCUACCACCUCAGCCUCCUGAGUAGCUUGAGACUACAGGCGUGUGCUACCAUGCCCGGCUAACUUUUGUGUAUUUAGUAGAGUUGGGAUUUUGCCAUGUUGGCCAGGCUGGUCUUGAACUCUUCACCUCAGGUGAUCCACCCACCUCGGCAUCCCAAAUUGUUGGGAUUACAGGCGUAAGCAAACGUGUCCAGCCAGAUCUUUCUUCUAUUUCUGUGAGAAAUACCACUGAAAUUUUGAUAGGGAUCCCAUUGAAUUUGUACAUUGCUUUUGAUGGGAUUACUAGAGAAACAGGAGUGUAGGAGAGCCAGAGUGACGCCAUUUUAAAGCCAAUUCCAUUUUAAAACAAGCAAGGCAAUUCCUUGCCAGUCACAGCCCAUGGUCACAGGUGUUGACAGCUAAGGAGGGAGUUUAGUAAUGCCUGCAAGGACUAACUCCUACAGCAACAAAAUGUCCAAAUGCGCCAAUAUCUAAUAACAAUAUGUGCUUUUAAAAUAAUUAGAAUCAUGCUUUGAUGUACUUACUCACUAAAAUCCCAAGGAUAGUUUACUUUAAAUCAACAAAGUAAUAAGUUUUGUCACGCUGUCAACCCACCCACACAUAGACUUAACUUAGCUUUUACAUAGAUAAGACCCCUACAUGAGAGGAGUUUAAAACAAAGACAAUGCGUUCCUCCUCUUGUUUUCUGAGGAUGCCCUACUCUGCAUCUGAGUAGCUUUCAAUAAAUGAUCUCUUCUCACUGCACUCUGUGACUCACCUGAAUUCCUUCCUGUGCAAGACUGAAAAACCCUCUUCCAGCAACAUCUUUCUGGCGAUGCACUAAGGGACCAUAAGAUGAGACUAUGUGCUGGGGAAGUUUUGUCUGCAGCACCAGUUGGCCACCUCUGGUAAAUGGGGUCCUUCUUGGCAUCCUAUGUCAUGCUUAGACAAGGAUGCUCGCCUAGAAACUCAGGUUAGAGGCUCAGCCCACAAGGUUAGAUGCCCUGGGGUAUAUCUGGAACAAUGGAAGUCUCUUUGCAAGAUGUUUGUCAGUACAUGAUCUGAACUAAUCCACCUUGUGCCCUCUGCUGGGGAUGGGAAAGCUCUACUUCUCAUCAUUUCCCAGCUCAUUGCUUUGCUGUACUGCAGCCUUGGGGCAGCCCCAAAUGGCUGGUCCAGAGGUUUCCACCUUCCAGUGGCGGAUUCUAAUGUUCUUUAUGUGUUUCUCUCUGUUCUUUUCUGCCUGCUUUGGAUCUGCUGUUACUAAUCUGCUGCCGAGUGGCAACUCUGCUUAUCUCACGGUGUUGAGGUGAGACUCACUGUUUUUGGUAUUACUAAUUCAAGGCUACCUGGAGAUUGUCUUUUCUUGUACAGUUCAGCCAGUUCUGGCUAAAAUGUAUACAUUAAAAACUCAUUUAAAACUGAAGAAAAAAAUGAUGAAAAGGUUUUUUUUUUUUUUAAACCAAACUUCCUUAAAGACUACUUUACCAAAACUUUGGUCCACAGCUUUCCUUGGAUUGCGUGUUGGAUGUCUGGGUCAUUUCCAAUUAAGAAAAGUUUAUGCUAUGGGAAACAUGUUUCUAGAAUUGUGGAAGGGUCUUAUCUAUAAAGUGCUAACAUCUGGCAAACAGUGCAGGAUCUCUUGCUUCCUCAGUUUUCCCACUCACGGAUGAGCGAGUGCGCUUAGCUGUCCCUUCCCUUCCCUUCCCGCUCUGGUUUCCUGUAUGCAAUGUGCUCAGCCUUCCAAGCCUUGGGACACACAGGGAUGCUCAUGCUCCUUUAUGUUCCCCUAGGGACUAGGGGUUAGUGGACCUCACCCAGAGGUGUGGGAUCCUUUGGGUUCUGUCUGCUGGGGAGCCUGGAGCCGGGGAUCCUCCAGGUCAGCCACCAUCCUGUUACAUGGGGCUCUUCAGCCUUUCGGGUCCCAGGGCUGCAGUGCCACCCCAGUGGAAAGCCCAUUUGAGACUCAGAGGGAUAUUUGCCAGCAUGUCCUGCUGGGUCUCCCUCGUCCCCUUCAUUGGCUGCAUAUUUGCUGUCUGUGCCUCACUAGUGAUGCCCGUCAUCCUGAGCUUGCAUGCUCUGAAGUUUAUGCCUGCCAUUUUCCUUCUCCUGGUGAUUUUCUUUCUUUGGGUUAUUUAAUUCAGCAUGUCUCUGGGCAGCAUUGGAGGCCAAAAGCCUCCCAGGAACUAGUCUUAUUGAGAAGAAAAAUAAUUUUGUCUAAUUCAGAAGUUAUCUAAAGGUCAAUUCAAAUGAUGAACUUGAAAAUAGUUACUUAUGAAGCAAGGUAGAAAGGAGCCAGUAAGUAGGGGAGCGAGAGAUGUGAAUAAAAGUUAUGGAUAUGAAGAUGUAUUUUUGGUAAGGAAGGUUAUAAAGAAUAGCAAAUAAUGUAUGAAAAAGGAUCUCGUGUGGUAAAUUUUUGUCCUAAAGUAAAAUGACUAAUGAUUAUUAGUCAUUAGCCAUUAAUAUGACUAUUAUUAUUAGUUAUUAGUCAUUAAUGACUAAAUGAUUAUUUAGGAAAGAGAGAAGGUUAGGGCAAGGCAGAAAGUCCAAGCACAUCUAAGAUGGUCUGUGUACACUGGGAUAAAGUUCGUGAAGGGGAAUUUAUGAAAGGAAUUUUGUAUAUGAUUAAGUUGGUUAUAAUUGAAAGGAAGCCAUUUAUAACAGUCUUUCUAAAAAUUGGUCGCCUACGUUAAAACAAAGUUUUCUUGAGGUACUGAUUUGCUGUGAAUGAAGUUACAAGAAAUUUUACUUUCAAUUUUAUACCCCGUUUCUCUUCUAAACUUCUCAGAUCCAUAUUUCCGACAUUCCAUUUUUUCUGUCUCACUGCUUUCAGCUUUUUCCCCCUUGAGCAGGCCUGAGAUGAUGACCUUCUCCUUCAGCAUUUUUUGUCAGCUCCUGCACCCCUUUUUUCCUCCAGUUUUAACUGUUGGAAUGACCUGAUGCUAAAGUUUUAUCUUGAAGGUCUAGAAAAGCAAUGUUUUCUUCUAGUAUAACUUGAUUUUAUAUUCUUGGCUUUUCUUGCUGUGUCUAAAUUUUCAGUGUAAUCAGAAAACUUCUCAUGCUGUUCCUAAGGGUCACAUAUGCUCAUAACCUUAAACACUGUUCCUGUGUCUGAUUGCAUUCAAGCACUUCUUUCCUCAAGUUUGUCUUCCAGGUUAUCUAAAUGGGCUUCCUGUAAGAAGAAGCGGUCUCACUGCAGAAGGUUUUCCCUGCCUUUUUAUUAGCUGGCUUAAAAAAAAACAAGAUUUUAUGUUUUUUUCACGAUAAUUCCUAUACUGUCUUUAUUAGCUUUAUGAUUGCAAAAAAACUGAAAGUUAAAAGGGUUAAGGUUUUUACCUCCAUGUGACUUUCUCUAUUGCUUGUUAAAGUCUUUAUGAUUAUUACUCUUGGUUAAGUGUAUAACUAUUACAAUGACCUGUGAUUUUAUGUUAAUAAAAUGUUUUGAGCCUUUUAACAUCUUAGAGAAAUAUCCUCAAAAUCAAAAUCUUAAAUUUAGUCUCUGAUUUAGUCUUAUUGCUGGGGCUUAUUAAGCCUAUAGAAAUUAAUCUCUGCAAGGUCAUAGACUCUUUCUAGAACUUUCUGGCAGACCAUGAAGUCCAGUAUCACCACCUCCAGCCUGAAAAUUAUAUAUUGGAAGAAAAAUCAGUUAAAGGAUUCCCUCAGCCCCCUUGAAGCUGUCCUUAUCAAGAGUUAUUAACCAAUGCUUGUGCUUAGUUAAUAACCUGUUGUAGGGCUUUGACUCCUGGACACACAUAUCUAAAGAUGGCACUGACUUCUACCAGUAUCUGACAAAAACUCAAGUUAACUGAAGGCUCGUCUUUAGACCUGGGCAAAGGGGACAACGUAAACUGCUUUCAUGAGACACAAGGACAGGUCUGUAUUCCAAAACAUUAUGAUUCAUUUCAUAAUUUUGCCUUUAUCUGAAAUAAUAUAAUUUGUUCUAUGUCUAUGUGGAAGGAAAAUAUCUUGGGCCCCCAGAAUCACUAAGGUAGAGGGAAAAUUCAAGCUGGGAACUGCUCAGGGCAAACCUGCCUCAUAGUCAUCCCUCUGCUUGUAUUCAUAGUCAUCCCUCUGCUCACUGAGAUAAAUGCAUAUCUGAUUACCUGCUUUGGAAAGGCUAAUCAGAAACUCAAAAGAAUGCACUGUUUGUCUCUCACCUGCCUGUGACCCGGAAACCCCCUCCCUGCUUUGAGUUGUCCCACCUUUCCAGACGGAACCAGCAUGACUCCCUAAAAUGCAGAAAACCAAACUGUGCUCUGACCACCUUGGGCAUAUGUCAUCAGGACCUCCUAAGUCUGUGUCAUGGGCGUGUGUCCUCAACCUUGACAAAUUAAACUUUCUAAAUUAACUGGGACCUGUCUCAAAUUUUCUGGGUUCAUAUUUGGUAACCAUGGGGGGAUUCUGAGUGGAGGUGCCCCUGAGCUUUGACAAAUCUUGUAUUGAUGCUUGGUACAUCAUGAACUAAUUUAUUGCUCAAAUCAAUAGGACAAUUUGCUGAGGUCUGCGAGCUGCCCCUCCAGAGAAUCCCUGCUCUCCCAAAAUUUGGUCAAGAUCUCAAGUUUAUUUUGGUGUACAACUCCUUUAUUUUGGAGUUUUACUUUCUUCCAACAAGGAAGGGAAGUUUUCCUGCUUCCGUGAUAAUGGAAGGCAGGUAACUCCUUUAUGGAGUUUGAGCUCACUUCCAACAGCGAAGAUGAGAUUUUUCCUGCUUCUAGGAUGGUGGAGAGCAGUCUUCAGCCUGAGACCCAUCCCUGGGUAAGUAACUGAAUUGGGGUUUGUCUUGGCUAAAGUUAAAGUUAACAACCAGCUGGUCUUAAUUUCUUUUUACCAUUAGAGUGUUCAGUGAUCAUGUAAGUUGUGCCAUUGUUUGUUUUGCUUAAGGGUUUUUUUUUUUUUUUUGGUGUUUGUUUGUUUCUGUUUUUCCUACUGUUUCUCUUGUUGUUUCAGUCUUUUGCCCAUUGGGUUUAAUCAACUCUAUCCAACUUGAUCAACUCUGAAGGGAAGUUCCAAAUUAUGGGGAACAAGGCCUCUGAAGUGACUAAAUUCCACCCCCCGCCUCCCCUCCACACACACACACAAAAGGUGGUAUGGUUGGGGGAGAAAAACAGCCAGCAAAAGGAGAAAAAAAGGAAAGAUUUUUGAUUUUGACUACUAAAGGGGUUUUAUUUACAGAACAAGGCCACUUUUUUGCUAGCAGGCCAAACUGAAACAAUGGCAGUUGCCCCACGCUGUAGUUCCAUACCUAAGGCUCUGCUUUCUUUUCACCAUGAGAGCCUGGGUUUGGUGGGUUUGGUUCCUAAAUCAAGCCCUUUCUGGUUUGAUACUUGGUACCUCUGAAAUAGCAGCAAUUUUUUCUGACUAAAAUACGGUAAUGAAAUUUAAAUGGAUUAUUUUAAAAAGAGCUCAAUGGUUAAAAGUCAGUUUAAUUAAAAGGCUAACAUCCAAGAUGUACGUGUGUGUGUGUGUGUGUGUGUGCGUGCACGCAUAUGUGUAUGUUUGUCUUUGAAAGGUCUUCAUGUGUUUGUUUUUUGGUUGUUUUUCUCCUCUAGGACCUUGCCUUUUUUUUUUAGCAAAAGUUUUUUUCUUCUCAGUUGACUGAAUUCUGUUAUUACCUGAUUGUUUGACUAAAAUAGAUACUGCACAGAGGCUACUCUGGGGUUUUUAAGGAAGAGUGUAGUUUAGACACUUAAAAAUGUCUUUGUUUAAAACUAUUUUUUAAGUGCACUGUAAAAGCAUCACGUUGUCUAGCCUCAUAAUAAUUCACCCUUUUUGGAGACCCAGGAUUCAGUGUGGGCUCUACCCAGAGCUCAGAUAUCUGGUUAAAAAAAGAAAAACAGGUAGUCUCUAUCUAAAUAAAAUCAGUCUUCCUAUGUAAUCCAACAAUAAAUUUCUGUAAUUUUAUUACUGAGUUGGCAUCCAUCUUUAAUCUUUCUCUAGCACCACCAGACAUUUUCUCUGUGUACCUGAUAAUGUAAAUUUUGCUAUUUGACUUUCACCUGAUAUGCAGAUUUAAGGCUAUUUAGCUGACAACUGUCUAGGGUUCUGAAACAGGUUAUCAAGAAUCUGAAAGUCUAAGAUAUGAAAAAAGAGGUUUUUAUGAAUCUAUAAGAUGUACUUUUAUCAGCAUGCCUAAUAUGUCUGUAUUUAUGUGUUGUGUACACAAUGUUUCACUAUGAAAAAUAUAUAAAAGAGCUCUAAUUAAUUGGCUCAAAGUGAAAUAAUUCAAAAAGCAGCUAUAUUCAUUAAAUCAAUAUCAAUGAUUUAUACUUAAUACGUAAAUACUUUAUCAGGAAAAAAGGAAAGAUUAGUCAAAUGCUUUUUCAAGUUUGCAUAACUUAAGUAAAAUUAUUAAUAAAUGAGCUCGCUUUAAAAUUAUUGGUAAAGUAAUAUUAGAAAUGUCAGCAUACAUUUUUGUUUGCAAUUAUUAAUCAAGCAAUUUCAUACUUACCCCUGCCAAAUAGUAUAAGUUGUCAAAAUUUGGCAGAGGGUUUACAAAACUAUAAACCCGGCCCAAAACAUAAUGAUAUUUGCUUGUGUAAUCUUUAAUAAAUAAGUCAUUGAUAUUGAUUUAAUGAAUAUAGUUGCAUUUUGAAUUUAGUAAGAUUAUCAUAACUUCUAAUUCUGUGGCUUUAGGCAGUCUAGUGCACAGGCAGUAAGGAAGUUUGUUUUGAGAAAGGACUGUUAUAGUGUUUGUUUCAAAGCUAAACUAUAAACUAAGUUCCUCCCAAAGUCCAGGAAUGAACAAGGACAGCCUGGAGGUUAGAAGCAAGUUGGAGUUAGUUAGUCAAAUCUUUUUUCCCUAUCUCAGUUAUAAUUUUGCAGUGAUGGUUUCAUAACUUUAAAUCAUGACUAUCACAGUUUUCAUAAACAAUCUAGGUAAACAAGGUAAUUAGGUAAAUGUAAUGUGAUACAUACUUGUAGACAAAUUUGUCAUAAUUUAGAAUAGAAAGUUAUAUUAA